rnacentral:misc_RNA from 1 species
ACACCUCAACUCUCGUGGUUUGCCAUGAUGAGCUUGGACUUUGGGGGGUUUUGCUGGCCUAUGGGUCAGCUCCUCUAAAAUGAAUCAGCUUGCCGGUGUUUGGUGGGCAUCACAGGUGUGAUAACUAAUCUACGCUUGUGGUUUUUCCACCAGGUAACCUUCAGCAGUGGAGGUUCACUGGAGCUCACAGAUGUCUCUCCUCAGCGAGGACAGCCCCUUUGAAU